rnacentral:rRNA from 1 species
CCUUCGGGUUGUAAAGCACUUUCGACGGGGAAGAUGAUGACGGUACCCGUAGAAGAAGCCCCGGCUAACUUCGUGCCAGCAGCCGCGGUAAUACGAAGGGGGCAAGCGUUGUUCGGAAUUACUGGGCGUAAAGGGCGUGUAGGCGGAUGCAUUAGUUGGGGGUGAAAGCCUUGGGCUCAACCUGAGAACUGCCUUCAAUACUAUGCAUCUAGAGUUCGUGAGAGGAUGGCGGAAUACCCAGUGUAGAGGUGAAAUUCGUAGAUAUUGGGUAGAACACCGGUGGCGAAGGCGGCCAUCUGGCACGAUACUGACGCUGAGGCGCGAAAGCGUGGGGAGCAAACAGG